rnacentral:lncRNA from 1 species
AUGGAGAAGUGGAGGAGUCACGUGCGUGGUGAAUUGUUCAACAGAGAUUGCCUUCAAAAAGAUCCUUUUUCUGGUGUGUUAGUUUCACUGUCAAGAUUGGAAGAGAAACUUGAUCUGCGAGACAAACUUUUUGACAGUCUUCAGCCUUGUGUUGAAAGACAUGAUGGAUGUGCAGUAAACGAUGAUCUGUCAAUCAAGCGUCAGCUGGCUCUGAGGGAGAGUGAACAUGAUAGAAUUAAGCUCAGGGAUCGGGUUUCUGACCUGACUGCGGCCCUGUACCUAAAAGAGGCAGAACUGCAGUACUGCCAUUCACAGGUUGUCCGUUUCCGCAAUGAAGCCUUGGUCUUGUGCCGUGAAAUGGCUUCUUUGAAGACCAGCAUGGACGACUACCAGUACUCCCUGGAGAUGCAGUCCAAGGAACUGAUGUCUCACAAGCAGGAGCUGGCGGCUCUAAGAAAUGGGCUCUCCACUGUCCAGCAAGAGAAAGAGGAGCUUCUGAGCCGCUGGAUGAAAGAAAAGAGACUGGAGGCAAAGCGGGUAAACAGAGCCAAUCAAAAGCAAGAAAGGAGGCAUCAUUUCUGCCCAGAAGCUCAACCGCUACAUCCAGAUGAUGGUGAACAAGAUCUGAAAUGUGAACCUAGCGUCAUGAAAAGUUGA